GGACUACAGGGGUAUCUAAUCCCGUUUGCUCCCCUGGCCUUCGUGCCUCAGUGUCAGGAACUGUCCAGAGACCCGCCUUCGCCACUGGUCUUCCUCACGAUAUCUACGCAUUUCACUGCUACACCGUGAAUUCCAGUCUCCUCUCCAGUCCUCAAGCACGCCAGUAUCAAAUGCAGUUUCGGAGUUAAGCCCCGAGAUUUCACACCUGACUUAGCGCGCCACCUACGCACCCUUUACGCCCAAUGAAUCCGAACAACGCUUGAGACCUCUGUAUUACCGCGGCUGCUGGCAC
rnacentral:rRNA from 2 species